AACGUAGGAGACAAACGUUAUCCGGAGUUACUGGGCGUAAAGGGCGUGUAGGUGGUAAUGUAAGUCUGGCGUGAAAUUUUUCGGCUUAACCGGGAAAGGUCGUCGGAGACUGCAUCACUAGAGGACGGUAGAGGCGUGUGGAAUUCCGGGUGUAGUGGUGAAAUGCGUAGAGAUCCGGAGGAACACCAGUGGCGAAGGCGGGUCUCUGGACAGUUCCUGACACUGAGGCACGAAGGCCAGGGGAGCAAACGGG
rnacentral:rRNA from 1 species